rnacentral:rRNA from 1 species
AUUGAACGCUGGCUGCAUGCCUUACGCAUGCCCGUCAAACGGAAACAGGUCUUCUGAUGCUGACCAAUGGCCAAAGGGUGAGUAAUACAUCGGAACGUGCCUAGAAAUGCGGGAUAACUACUCAAAAGAGUGGCUAAUACCGCAUGAGAUCUACCGAUGAAAGCACGGGAUCGCAAGACCUUGUGCUACUAUAGCGGCCUAUGGCACAUUAUGUAGUUGGUGGGAUAAAAGCUUACCAAGCCCACCAUCUGUAUGUGGUCUGAUAGGACUAUCAGCCGCACUGGGACUGAGACACUGCCCAGACUCCUACGGGAGGCAGCAAUGAGGAAUUUUGGACAAUGGGCGCAAGCCUGAUCCAGAAAUGCCCCGUGCCUGAUGAAGGCCUUCGGGUUGCAAACUGCUUUUGUGCUGAACGAAAAGCCCUGGGUUAAUACCCUGGGGUCAUGACGGGACCGUAACAAUAAGCACCGGCUAACUACGUGCCACCAGCCGCGGUAAUACCUAGGGUGCGAGCGUUAAUCGCACUUACUGGGCGUAACGCUUGUGCACGCUCGUUUUGUAAGACCGAGGUGAAAUCUCCGGGCUCAACCUCGGAACUGCGAUCGUGAGUGCAAGGCUAGAGUACGACAGAGGCGGAUGGAAUUCCGCGUGUAGCAGUGAAAUGCGCAGAUAUGCGGAGGAACACCGAUGGCGAAGGCAAUCCCCUGGGCCAGUUCUGACGGUCAUGCACGACAGUGCGGGGAGCAAACAGGAUUAGAUACCUCGGUAGUACACGCCCUCAUCGAUGUCAACUGGUUGCUGGGUAUCAGGUGACUCAGUACCGCAGAUAACGCGUGAAGUUGACCGCCUGGGGAGUACGGCCGCAAGGUUGAAACUCAAAGGAAUCGACGGGGACCCGCACAAGCGGUGGAUGUAUGUGGUUUAAUUCAGAUGCAACGCGAUAAAACCUUACCCACCUCUCACAUGUACGGAAUCCUUCAGAGAUAGAGGAGUGCUCGAAAGAGAGCCGUAACACAGGUGCUGCAGGAGCUGUGGUCAGCUCGCGUGUGUGCAGAUGUUGGGAUACAGUCCCGCAACGUAGCGCAACCCUCGUCAUCUAGGGGAUACGCAAAGGGCACUCUAAUGGGACAGCCGGUGACAAACCGGAGGAAGGUGGGGAUGACGUCACAGUCCUCAUGGCCGUUAUAGGUGGGGCUCACACACGUCAUGCAAUGGGCGGUACAAAGGGUUGCCAAUCCGCGAGGGGGAGGUAAUCCCAUACAAGCCAGUCGUAGUCCGGAUCCCAGUCCGCAACUCGAGUGCGAGCAGUCGGAAUCGGUAGUAAUCGUGGAUCAGAAUGUCACGGUGAAUACGUUCCCGGCUCG